GCUAGCGGCAAGCCUAACACAUGCAAGUCGAACGGUAACUUUUGGUGCUUGCACCGAAAGACGAGUGGCGAACGGGUGCGUAACGCGUAUGCAAUCUGCCUUUUACUAGGGUAUAGCCCAGAGAAAUUUGGAUUAAUCCCCUAUAAUAUCAUUUAAUCGCAUGAUUUUAUGAUUAAAGCUUCGGCGGUAAAAGAUGAGCAUGCGUCCUAUUAGUUAGUAGGUGAGGUAACGGCUCACCUAGACUCCGAUAGGUAGGGGUCCUGAGAGGGAGAUCCCCCACACUGGUACUGAGACACGGACCAGACUCCUACGGGAGGCAGCAGUGAGGAAUAUUGGACAAUGGACGAAAGUCUGAUCCAGCUAUGCCGCGUGCAGGAUGACGGCCCUAUGGGUUGUAAACUGCUUUUAUACAGGAAGAAAAACUCCGACGUGUCGGAACUUGACGGUACUGUAAGAAUAAGGAUCGGCUAA
rnacentral:rRNA from 1 species